GGUGAGAUGGCAGAGUGGUAAUGCGUUCCGCUGUAAAUGGAUUAGGUAAAUAUCCUGUCGAGAGUUCAAUUCUUUCUCUCACUA
rnacentral:tRNA from 1 species